rnacentral:rRNA from 1 species
UACGGAGGGUGCGAGCGUUGUCCGGAAUCAUUGGGCGUAAAGGGUGCGUAGGUGGCGCCGUAAGUCGGGUGUGAAAUCUCGGGGCUUAACUCCGAAACUGCAUUCGAUACUGCCGUGCUUGAGGACUGGAGAGGAGACUGGAAUUUACGGUGUAGCGGUGAAAUGCGUAGAUAUCGUAAGGAAGACCAGUGGCGAAGGCGGGUCUCUGGACAGUUCCUGACGCUGAGGCACGAAGGUCAGGGGAGCAAACGGG